GCCAGGUGUGGUGGUGCGCACCUGUAAUCCCACCUGCUUGGGGGGCUGAGGCAGAAGAAUCACUUGAACCCGGGAGGCAGAGGCUGCAGUGAGCUGACAUUGCGCCACUGCACUCCAGCCUGGGUGACAGAGUGAGACUCCGCCUCAA
rnacentral:SRP_RNA from 1 species